rnacentral:rRNA from 1 species
UACUACGUCGGCGACCGGCGCACGGGUGCGUAACGCGUAUGCAACCUACCCAUUACAGGGGGAGUAACACUGAGAAAUCGGUACUAAUACCCCAUAACAUCCAGGGAGGCAUCUUCUUGGGUUGAAAACUCCGGUGGUAAUGGAUGGGCAUGCGUUGUAUUAGUUAGUUGGUGGGGUAACGGCUCACCAAGACAACGAUACAUAGGGGGACUGAGAGGUUAACCCCCCCACAUUGGUACUGAGACACGGACCAAACUCCUACGGGAGGCAGCAG